AGCUUUGUGCAAUGGCAGUAUCAUAGCCAAUGAGGUUUAUCCGAGGCGCGAUUAUUGCUAAUUGUAAACUUUAUUUUUUUUAACUUUUUGAGACAGGAUCUCACUAUGUAGUUCAGGCUAACCUUGAACUCACUACUGGU
rnacentral:snRNA from 1 species